UACGUAGGGGGCUAGCGUUGUCCGGAUUUAUUGGGCGUAAAGAGCGUGUAGGCGGCCAGGUAGGUCUGCUGUGAAAACUCGAGGCUCAACCUCGAGACGUCGGCGGAAACCAUCUGGCUAGAGUCCGGAAGAGGAGAGUGGAAUUCCUGGUGUAGCGGUGAAAUGCGCAGAUAUCAGGAGGAACACCAGUGGCGAAGGCGACUUCCUGGCCUGUUCUUGACGCUGAGGCGCGAAAGCUAGGGUAGCAAACGGG
rnacentral:rRNA from 1 species